GAGAGAGCGCCUCACAGGGAGUCGGCGCCCAGGCGACGCGGGAAGGCGCCACCACCGCCGCCGCUGGCCAAGGUGCUGGAGACAGAGGCCGUCGGUCGUUUCACCAGCUCAGACAACCGUUGCAGCCGCGGCUGCCUAGCUCCCAAGCCGGUCCUCAUGGAAGAGAUGGAAGAAGAGUUAAAAUGCCCUGUGUGUGGCUCCUUCUAUCGGGAGCCCAUCAUCCUGCCCUGCUCUCACAAUUUAUGUCAAGCAUGCGCCCGCAACAUUCUGGUACAGACCCCGGAGUCCGAGUCCCCCCAGAGCCGUCGGGCCUCGGGCUCUGGGGUCUCCGACUAUGACUAUCUGGACCUGGACAAGAUGAGCCUGUACAGCGAAGCGGACAGCGGCUAUGGUUCCUACGGGGGGUUCGCCAGUGCCCCCACUACCCCGUGCCAGAAGUCUCCCAAUGGCGUCCGCGUGUUCCCGCCGGCUAUGCCGCCACCGGCCACCCAUCUGUCACCGGCCUUGGCCCCGGUGCCCCGCAACUCCUGUAUCACCUGUCCCCAGUGCCACCGCAGCCUCAUACUGGAUGACCGGGGUCUCCGCGGCUUCCCCAAGAACCGCGUCCUGGAAGGGGUAAUUGACCGCUACCAGCAGAGCAAAGCCGCAGCCCUCAAGUGCCAGCUCUGCGAGAAGGCGCCUAAGGAGGCCACCGUCAUGUGCGAACAGUGCGAUGUCUUCUACUGCGAUCCGUGCCGCCUGCGCUGCCACCCGCCCCGAGGGCCACUAGCGAAGCACCGCCUUGUGCCCCCGGCCCAAGGCCGCGUUAGCCGGCGGCUGAGCCCGCGCAAGGUCUCCACCUGCACAGAUCACGAGCUGGAGAACCACAGCAUGUAUUGCGUGCAGUGCAAGAUGCCUGUGUGUUACCAGUGCUUGGAGGAGGGCAAACACUCCAGCCACGAAGUCAAAGCUCUGGGAGCCAUGUGGAAACUGCACAAGAGCCAGCUCUCCCAGGCGCUGAACGGACUGUCAGACAGGGCCAAAGAAGCCAAGGAGUUUCUGGUGCAGCUCCGCAACAUGGUCCAGCAGAUCCAGGAGAACAGCGUGGAGUUCGAGGCUUGCCUGGUGGCCCAGUGUGAUGCCCUCAUCGACGCCCUCAACAGAAGGAAAGCCCAGCUGCUUGCCCGUGUCAACAAGGAGCAUGAGCACAAGCUGAAGGUGGUUCGAGAUCAGAUCUCUCACUGCACCGUGAAACUGCGCCAGACCACGGGUCUCAUGGAGUACUGCUUGGAAGUCAUUAAGGAAAACGAUCCCAGUGGCUUUUUACAGAUUUCUGACGCCCUCAUAAGGAGAGUGCACCUGACUGAGGAUCAGUGGGGGAAAGGCACGCUCACUCCCAGGAUGACCACGGACUUUGACCUGAGUCUGGACAACAGCCCUCUGCUGCAAUCCAUUCAUCAACUCGACUUUGUGCAGAUGAAAGCUUCCUCUCCAGUCCCAGCAACCCCCAUCCUGCAGCUGGAGGAGUGUUGUACCCACAACAACAGCGCCACACUGUCCUGGAAACAGCCACCUCUGUCCACGGUGCCUGCCGAUGGCUAUAUUCUGGAGCUGGAUGAUGGCAAUGGUGGUCAGUUCCGGGAAGUGUAUGUUGGCAAGGAGACGAUGUGCACCGUGGACGGUCUUCACUUCAACAGCACAUACAACGCUCGCAUCAAGGCCUUCAACAAAACAGGAGUCAGCCAGUACAGCAAGACCCUGGUCCUCCAAACGUCUGAGGACACAGAUUCAGAAGAACAGACACUCCCUUUUCCAGUGCCUUCGGAAAGAUUGCCGCUCCGUAGAAUGAGUCCUUUCUCCUCCACCCUUAAUCUACAACCCAGCUUUCCCGGGAGAUCCUACUUUGAUUUCCGAUCCUCACCCCACCAGCUGAGCUUGCAUUCUUCUUUGCAGUCUCUCAAUGCACCGGGAUGCAAUUUUGAGACACAAUCUGCACCUUACUCUCAAUUAGUUGACAUUAAAAAGCUGUUGGCAGUGGCCUGGUUUGCUUUCGACCCCAGCUCGGCACACUCUGACAUCAUCUUCUCCAAUGACAACCUGACCGUGACCUGCAGCAGCUACGAUGACCGGGUGGUGCUGGGGAAGACCGGCUUCUCCAAGGGCGUCCACUACUGGGAGCUAACGGUAGACCGCUAUGACAACCACCCGGACCCUGCCUUCGGCGUGGCUCGCAUCGACGUGAUGAAGGAUGUGAUGUUAGGAAAGGACGACAAAGCUUGGGCAAUGUAUGUGGACAAUAACCGGAGCUGGUUCAUGCACAACAACUCGCACACCAACAGAACUGAGGGAGGGAUCACCAAGGGGGCCACCAUCGGGGUCCUCCUCGACUUAAAUCGGAAAAACUUGACAUUUUUUAUCAACGAUGAACAGCAGGGUCCCAUAGCCUUCGAGAAUGUGGAAGGCAUGUUCUUCCCAGCCGUGAGCCUGAACAGGAACGUGCAGGUAAGCACCGUGCCCCCGCGUGUCACCGCAGCUUCCGCUCGCUCUGCUUCAAAGGCUGCCCGCGGGCGGUACAUUGAUCCCUGAGACAGGGAAGCCAACCGUGUAAGGCCCAGACCAAGACACGGAGGAAAGGCGAGGGGAAAGGGAUCAACGGUGACAACUGAGAUGAUUCCAGAUCAGCAUCAGCCCCUUCGUUAAGCUUGGACACAGUCUAAUUAACAGCAAGUGGGAAAUUGGAACUCUGUUCAUGGUUUGCUAUUGAUCAUCCCUGAGGCCUAGAUUCAUCCCUAGUAGGAACGAAACCCUUGAACCAGCUGGCAUGAAAACAGAUGGAAUGACUUAUGCAGAGCGCCUUGAGCGCCCCAGAAGUGAAGGUGUGAGACUGAAGUUUUAGCACCAUUAUCAGAAAGCCUGAACAUCUUCGCUGCACUCUUACUCGGUGGGGAUAGAAAACAAUCCCUGCCUGCGGCCCACUUAGGAUUUACUGCAAAUGGCAAACUACAGGUUCUUCUCAUGCAUUCAUUCAACAGACACCUACCGGGUGCCUUUAAUACGUAAGGCACUAUUAUUAUAAUUACUACGACUAGACGGGGUUUUCUGGGAGGCUGAAAUCUAAUCUCUCAGAGUCCAGCCUCUACAUUGGAAGAAAGAAAACCAUAAAUUGCCCUAGAAGUGAGUCUUAGAAAAACCUCCUUCGAAGCUUUCCACAUUUUCAGCUGUUUCCCCUUCCAAGGAAUAUUGCACUCGAUGCUCUUCAGCGGUGUCCAGGAUGUUCUGAGUAUCUCUGGAGAAAGACUCUUGGGCUGGGGAAGACAGGGAUGAGGAGGGGAGGGAUGAUGACCACCCCGCAGGGGACAGUUCCAGCGUCGUGCGUGCAGCUUCCCCCUGAAGUGCAAGGCUGCAAGGAACCCGGGAAACAGUAUAAGUGCCCAUGUUUCUUCUUACCUGGCAAUCACCUAUCCAUUCCCCAAACGAAAGGCUUAGCCUACUGGGAGUAACUAACUAGUGGACAAGUGGUAAGGGAAGGGUUGUCUGCUCACCUGUUCUCUGUCCAAGGAUUUGGCAGUGUCACUGCAUCCCGGCCAACAGGUUUUGCUACCUGCAGAUCAAUGCCUGUGUCUUCAGUCAUAAGGAACACAGUCUUCCCAGGAUCCUUAAAAGAGGCAGGUGGAUGAGAACCGUAUUACCGUCUCCAGGAUUUAGGAGCCCACCGCGGUGGCCAGGCUCCUCACACAGGCAGAAUUCUACUAGAAUUCUCUUUAACGUCUACCAGAAUAGAUGUUAAAGGAAGCCAACCGGGCCCCUGCAAUUAGGAACACAUGCACCGUGCCUGGGGAGGGGCAUGCCGGGAGGGUUCCCGUGGUGCCUCCAGGACUCACAGUCUCCUCCCCCAGGUCACGCUUCACACCGGGCUCCCAGUCCCCGACUUCUACUCCAGCAGAGCAUCAAUAGCCUAAGGACGACUGGCCGGUCCUCACCUCUGCCUGAGUGCCACAGGAAGGAGCUCAGCCAGCACGCGGCAGGAGCGCUCCGGAAGCAGAGGGGGAGAAGAGAAAAGCUGGACCCCGUGUCUUCACUCCCCACAGCUCCACCCCUUCCUUUCGGCCCCGCCCCUCCUGCUCCGAUGCCUGCCGUCACUUCCGCAUCCAGCAACAAAGGACCGUGUCACUUAGUUUCCACGCCCAGAUUUUCCUUUCAUUUAACUUAAUUUUUUUUUGAUGUAGGUGAGUUCUAUUUUGUUUCUUUUCCGAUCAUGUUAUUGGUGACUUACUGAACUGGUACUGCCAAGAGAAUAUUCUCCUGAUAACCUUUAUCUCAAGCUUUCUGACAAAGAGGUUGUAGAGAGAGGUGGGGAAGAAUGAGUUGAAUUUGGAGCUUGCAGUUUACCUCCUAGAAAGUUCUUGCCCUGUUACCUCUCAUGCAGGGUUAGCCCUGCAUAGCUAAUCUUUGAGAGGUGGGCAGAAUGAAUGCAGCAUUGAGAAGUUUUACUAUCUAUUAAAGCACAAAAAUAUUAGCCAUAGGGCUAUACGGAGGUUCACAGCAGGCAGGAUGUUAGGAUAGGCCAGAAACCCUGGUCAUUGAACCAAACUAGCCAGUCUCUAGACAUAGGCAGACCAGGAGAUUUAUGAUUUGAUUCAUUUAUUUAAUACAAGUUCUUAAUUGAGAGCCUACUAUGGACCAGGCACUGUUCUAGACAUUGGAAACACCGUGGUGAAUACACAGGUGUGGUUACUGCCCUUCUGGGGCUUAUAUUCUCAUAGGAGAGCAAACCAAAAAUAAAACAAUUACAAAACCGUUAUAAGUACUAGGAAGGAAAUAAACAAGGGACAAAGAGGCUCAUUGGCAAGAUCUCUCAGAUCCCCAAGAGGGACACUAAAAAGCUACACAUUCUGGCCAUAGCAGCAGACACAUACCAACUCAAUGCCUUUUCAACCACGCUAUUUUAAUUAGGGUACCUGCUGCCAUUUAUCACAGAGCCCUUCUUUGACAGAAAUGAUGUCAGCAUUCUUAUUUGUUAAUGCUGCAGUGACACUAAGCCUUAAAAAUAAAUGUGAAAAAAAAAGCAACCAGAGAGAGAACCCAUUCUCAGUACCGGGGGAUCUGAAGUUGCAGUCCAUGCACCCCCAUUCUCAGGAUAAACGCGCUUGUCUACAUGAACACCUGUGCCUGUUACAAAUGACAGAUCCGUCCACUCUGCUGCCAUGCACAACCCAUCUUUCCGGAGUCGUUCAAACAACAUGUGGAAGAAAAAGGCAGUUGUGUGUCGUUGCUAUGACAGAGCGCAGACUAUAAUUCUCAUUACUUCUCUGUAGAGAUAGACUCACACAGGUUACCCUUCAGACUCUAGUUUGACAUGAAGUUUUAGAAAACGUAGAACAUGGGAAGAGAUUCUGAUCACUUGUCUAAACAUUUGCCAGGGAGCCAAGAAAUUCACCAUGGAGACACAAGAAUAACAAAUAAAAGAGAAGAGGUAGGAUGGGAAAGCUAACAAACUAAAGUUUUGGCAACAAAUAAUAUAUGUAAAUAGCUAGUUAUUUCCUUUUGUGCUUUAUUUAGGUCAUUUCUAUCAGUUACAGUGUUUUUCUAGUUAAGCGUACCUAAUAUAUUGAAUGGGUGCUAUCAUGUUUAUGUCCAUCUUGGUUUCUUGGCUACAGAAAAACUCUGUUGCAGGGCAACACUAGUUUGAUAUUUGACUUACUCUCCAAUGAGACUUGAAGGCUGGGCCGCUGUAGACUCAUAGUUACUCUUGUUCUUUAUUAAGUUCAUCUUGCUAAUUAGAUUUCUAGUGACUUGUAACACGUAGUUUACACAGAAUUGCCAUUGUAGAUGCCUAUAGCUACUGUACUAGAAAAAAAUGGAUAUUUCUGGUGUGCCAAUAAAAGGUUUUUAUGAGAGAAUA